AAACUGUGCUGGAACUUCGUAAUAUUUGCCCAAUCCCCGCGCGCCCUCAAAAAUCGAAUGGUCCGUCCCUAGCGCGCUGGUACGAAAUCGUAAAAAUCACGGUAGCCGUUAAACAGGGCAUAAAGUACAAAAAUACAACAGGGGGGGGGGGGCGGGCAAUUCUAUACACGGAAUAUACAAAAAUAAACAGAGAAAAUCAUGUACAGUAUCUACACCAUAAAAAGAUUGACAAAGUUCUUCUGCGAGGAAAAUGUCCCCUCCACCCUCCCAGGAUAAUUAAUGGUCCACCCCUUAUAUUAAAUUAUAAUAUUAAAUUAAUAGUAACGUUUUAUGCUAAGAUAUACCGGAUAUAGUUAACGCGAAUCUUGUAAAUAUUUGGCACGGUUUCAUUAAAUUACAACAAUUGAAUGAGAGAGUAUAUAGUCCAUUUUGCGCAGGUCUUGGGUAAAAGUGCAUGCGCGUUCGUGGGGGUUAAUUAAAUAUGACGCAGGUGGGUUUCCGGGGAC
rnacentral:lncRNA from 1 species